GAGUGAUGGCUCAGUGGUUGAGAGCACUGAGUGCUCCUCCAGAGGUCCUGGGUUCAAUUCCCAGCACCCA
rnacentral:tRNA from 1 species